rnacentral:lncRNA from 1 species
ACCACUCUUAGGAGGCAGUGACUGGUCCCCAAGGUUCUCUCGUCGUCACCAGCAUCCUCACCCUUCCCUGGGCAUCCUGAGGUCGGAGGUGGGGAGGGAGGACGAGGAGGAGUGGACAAGGAGGCGAGGGGGCGUUCUUGGUGAGAAGGAGGAGGAAGAUGUAGGGGAACCUCGGGGACCGGCUCUCCCUUAUCCUCCCGACUCAAAGCACGUUCUGAGUAGACUCCCACGUCAGGGGAUGAGAUGGAAGAAAGCACAAAAACAAAAAAUGAAACAGAAGACCCGCAGAGAUUAACGCUAACUUUUCCUUCUGAACAUUUCGACUUACCGUUCGCCUUGUUAUCGAUCCCGAAGGAAGGCAGUGAUGGAGAGGCAGCUAAAAGAGGCAUCAGGCUGAACACCAGGGGUCCACACAGGUGUGGUUCGUAGCUCACUAAGUUGAUCUUGUACACGACUCGUGCCAAAUACAAGUUGGGCCACAUGCGCCCGGGAAGCUUUUCCUAUUUCAGCGGCUUGGGCAGGCUCUCCUGCAGAGUGGGGCACAGAGAGUCAGCGUGGUAACCACUGGCUGGGCACACAGCAGAGAACAAGAGAUGUCCAGCCACAUGGUCAGCUGCGGUCUGAACCCUCCUUCCGCACUUGCUGGUGGCGUGGCUGUCUUGUGAACCCCUUCAUCCAGUCACGGGACACCUUUCUGCUGCGCCCCUCAAGCCGUGUCACCAGGUGAAAGCCACCCCCUGCCUGGGUGGAUCCUCUCUGGGUGGGCAUGCGGGACCCUCAGAGUUCCCUUUGUGCCCUGAAGGUGUCACUAAGGAGGUCGACAGGGGCUCAGACUGACCGGAAGCCCAGGACCAUUCCUGACCCCCCCAGGUCUCAGGCCUUGCAUGGAGGAAACCUCCACUCAGAAGUCGGGGUAACCCUUGUGACCGUCCCGGGGCACACUUGACCAGCCCCACCGGUCCCCCACCCUGCUUCCUCCCUCUUACUAAUAGGCAGGAAUUGGGCAACAGCUUUGCCAUGACAGCGAGUGCCAUCAGACGUUCCAGAACCAAUGUUUGAUCUUGUUUGGGAAGUUAGUUGUCCUGGCAGAGGGGGUACUGAGGACUCUGUCUCCUGAGUGGCCCAGCUUUCUGGGAAGCCUGCUGUCACCAAAGGACACUUGCGGAGGACAGCUGUAUUCCUUCCACUGGCAGCGUGGAGACUGUAACCUGCGGUCCAAUGGACGGCUUUGCAGGACGCCGGCACCAGGGCCAGGCUAGCCAGAGCGGCUCCUUGCAUAGAGCCUUGGGAGCACCCACUGCUCAAUGAUCCUGAGACUGCUCCUUUCAUUUGCCAGAAAAGCCUGCUCCCUGGAGUGGCACAGGGGAGCUGGCCAUCCUGUGCUGGCUGAAGGGUUGGUCCUGGCCAGGCUGCAGGUCUGUGACAUUCUUAGCCAGGCUGGGGGGAAAGCACAGGGAGCCACAUGGUAUCCUAGGGAGGCUGUGCACACAGCCUGGGACUUCCCACCUACCUCCCGCAGCACCACCAGCCUUGAGCAAAGGAGAGGAGGCCCAGUGAUCUUCCUCCAGUUCCUUUGCAGGGGAGACUGGCCACCCAAGCCUCAGCUAAGUGUGAGCUCAAGACACGGCGUCUCCCACCCAACCACAUCCUCCCAGGCUUCUGCGUGGCCCAGUUCCAGGCCUGUGGUCCAGUGGUGAUUUCAUAGCACAGGUACCUGGCUGGCCUCCUCUUCGCAGGGCGAAGAGGCCCUUCGGGGGACCCCGUGCUCCUUCCCCUUCACAAGCACUCAGCAGUUACUGGAUGAACUCGGGGGGCCUGUGCUCCCAGGAACGUACGUUUCCACUUCUGGACCAAUGCCCUCGUUUAUUCCCCACCCCACCUGGCCUGAAGACAACCUCUUCCCAGCCAGCCCUGCUUCGAGGAAAACUAACAGCAAUGGCAUCCCAGACCCCCUGAUACUGGGUUUUACUCCUUGGUAUGAAUGCGUUUGAGAUGCCAUGUGCCGUCGGAGAGAACUUACAAUUUCCUGCUAAGAUCCGGUUGUUCCUGCAAACCGAGUGUCCUCCUGUGAGGCUUUGCCCUUGUCCCCUCCUGCCAGGAAACGCUCUUCCCCAGACAGACGUCUGCCUCACCCCUGCCUCCGCUCAACGGCCCUGACCGCACAGGCCUCCUGGGCACUUGUUUAAAAUAGUAUCUCGUGCCUCCCUCCACCCCGCUUCCCCCGUGAUUUUUAUCUGCGGCCCUGACCUGACUCACGAUGUACUAGCUCCUUGUUUGGUUAGAGUCUGUUUCCCCCAUUUAGACUGUAAGCUCCCUGAAGGCAGGUACACUUGCUUGUUCGUUUUACCUGCCACUAAAUCCCCAGCGCCUGGAACAUAUCUAACCUGCACAAGUUGAGUAUCUGUUGACUAAAUAAAUAGGUAAAUGGUGAAUCAAAAGCUCCAGCAAGGAGUUUAUCUUGCUGGUGACACGGGGUCCGUAGUCACAGUGCCCCUUGCAGGGCACAGCUGCUGCCUGGCCCCAGGGAUGGGCAGACUGGCGCCUUGGAGACUUGUUUCUUCCUGGAGGAUAGGAGCAAGCAGGGCAGCGGCUCCAACGUGGGGCAAAGCCUGCUGCUUCUGUCCUAAGGGAUGCCCAGGGGCCAGGCGGGAUGAACGUGGCUUCCCCUCCCGCCUCAUCCAUGUCUGCAAGGGGGGCUUCAUCUGGGUCCUCUCAGCUUUCUGAAAUUUGGAUUUGCUCAUCUGAAGAAUUAA